UACGAAGGGGGCUAGCGUUGUUCGGAAUUACUGGGCGUAAAGCGCACGUAGGCGGACAUUUAAGUCAGGGGUGAAAUCCCGGGGCUCAACCCCGGAACUGCCUUUGAUACUGGGUGUCUGGAGUCCGGAAGAGGUGAGUGGAAUUCCGAGUGUAGAGGUGAAAUUCGUAGAUAUUCGGAGGAACACCAGUGGCGAAGGCGGCUCACUGGUCCGGUACUGACGCUGAGGUGCGAAAGCGUGGGGAGCAAACAGGAUUAGAAACCCUCGUAGUCC
rnacentral:rRNA from 1 species